rnacentral:lncRNA from 1 species
CCUAGAGAUGAAUGAUUCCCUGAGUAGAAGUGCGAGAGGUUCAUGGAAAGAUUCACCGGAAACACUUCUCUCUCGAAGGGGCUGAUUAGAGGCAAGGGUGAAUUGUUCAUUUUAAAUAUGUGACAACAUAAUGAAAAUGGUACCAAUAGAACGGGCACGGCGAGGCGAGAACGCUGGAUUUGGAAUCACAUGAUUUGAGUAACGGCCGUGAAAUUAUGACCAUUCAUUCGUUAGGCACACAAGCACACAAAAAAUUGUCCACUUUAGCUGUUAAUGGACGAACGCUCCCAACUUAACAGAUUUAGCUCGCGGCUGAAAAAAUGGAAAGCACAUUUAUGAGAUUAUGCUUUUAGACAGAGAAAACAUAAUCCUGGGCGAAGAACCAGAAUAAACUUUCCGAAGAUAAAAAUGCACCCCAUAGAUUAUGCCUCCACUUACCGGUCAACGGGCUGGUCCGGUCACCGCAAGAGCCGCUCACACACGGGGCCCACCGGACCUCUCUCCUCCCACUCGUCUUCUUCCUCUUGAUCGGAGGCAGAGGAGGCUUCGUGCACUGGUCUAGGACGUCGCCUUGUCGCCCGAGAGGGUCGGCCGAUGAGCGCAAGUGCUCAGCUAUCCACACUGCACCUGCUGGUAGUCAAGGGGGUGCUCGGGGCGGCCUGCCGCAUUGGCGGCACAGUCGGGUCCGACGACUGAAGAAGCUUCACAGGGUGGGCACCACUCCUCCGGCUGGACGGAGGGUAGCGACUC